GAGCGGCAGAGGCAGAGCCGCCACCGCGCCGGAGAGAGAGAGAAAGAGCCGAGAGAGCGGGUACUGCUGGUACGCCGGUACAUUCCAACGUGUUUCUUCGAUCUUUGUGCGUGCUUCUUCCAUGUCGGUUUGGUGCGCCAUUUUGUCUUUUUUUUGCGUGGCGUGCGAGUGCCUGUGCAACGCGCGUGUGUGCUUUGGAGCUGCAGCCUCAACUCGAGUGCACGUGUAAAGGUUCACAGGACAGGUCUGAAAGGUCAACGUCAAUCAUAUUUGGCCGUGGAUAUCACUGCAACUUGGCACUCGACCAAGCGAGGUACAUUGGACAGAUCAACCGGACCAAAAGGCGGGGUAAAGGAAAAGGCAGCGGAAUAGGACCAAGGGUGCUCAGCCUUAUCAAAGCGCUUUGAAUAAUAAAUGUGCAAGUAUUGAC
rnacentral:lncRNA from 1 species